UGGGGCUCUGCACACGGCCGCUCACUCGGUUCCCCGAAGUCGCCUCCGUGAGCCCCGGGCCACCUCGCAUGACGGAGGGCCGGGUGCAGAGCGGGAACGCCGCGUGCCUGGUGGCUGGGCCCUGUGCCCAGCACUCUGCCCCCGUCCUCUGGCGUGCACACCUCCCGCCCUCCUGGCCUGUGCCUGAACUCAUCUGCGGAGGGGACAGGGAGGUGGGGUAAGCUGGGAAGAAGUGGGGAACUCUGCUUGGAUAGAAAAAUCGGCUGGAAGUGCAGAUUACAAAAACCACUGGCAGGAGAAUGAGUGAGAGAAAGCACAAGCAGGGGGAGCAGCAGAGGGAGAGAGAGGGAGAAGCAGGCUCCCCACUAAGCAGGGAGCCUGUUUUCAGAGCUGGAUCCAAGGACCCCGGGAUCAGGAUCAGAGCCAAAAGAAGACAAUUAACCGACUGAACCACCCAGGCACCCCUGAAUUUUGUUUUUAAACACAACAUUGUGAGAGAGAUCACAAGUAGGCAGAGAGGCAAGCAGAGAGAGAGGAGGAAGCAGGCUCCCUGCCGAGCAGAGAGCCCAAUGCGGGACUCCAUCCCAGGACCCUGAGAUCAUGACCUGAGCUGAAGGCAGAGGCUUAACCCACUGAGCCACCCAGGUGCCCCUGGAGCUGACUUUCUAAAGCCUUUUGCCUCUAGGAGAAAAGCCUGAAAAUAAAGCCCUCGCAAAGGAAAUGGAGACUGACCUCACUGGAACACCUGGACCCAGCCAUCCCUGAAGCCGUUCGUUAUAUUUGGGAGAAGAAGUCACUGGGUCCAGGCCACACUCAAGGAGAGGGGACACGCGAGAGCCUGGAGCAGUGGAGCAGACUCCAGAGCAGUGGAGUGCGGCACCAUGGCAUCACGGAGGCCAUCUUGAAAGUCUGACUACCCUGGGCGAAGGUGGGGGGAAAUGCUUUCUGCCUGCGGGCCCUUUGCACGGGCUGCUUUCUUUGCCUAAAAUGCUCCCUCCAUCCCUGUCCCUUUCAUUUGUUGGGUUCCAGUGUAAGGCCACUUCCUCAGAAAGGCCUUCCUGGGACCCCAAAUAUUGGAGUCUCUCUGUCAUCUGCAAACAUAUGCCUUCUCUGUGGCACUUAUUACAAUGACGGGCACGAGUGACAGAGCAGCUAGUAUUUAUGUCCUCCUGAUCCUGUGCCAGGUGCUCAGGGCUGUACAUGUGCGAACUCACUUGAUUUUUCUGACAGUGCCCUAAGAUAGGGCUGGUCGUCACCUACAUUUUACAGGGGGAGAGACUGAGGCUCAGAGAGACUGUGUAACACUGCUGCAAGCCACUCGCUGGUCAAGGGCCCAGCCAGGCGGUCUUUCCCCAGAGCCUGUGCGCUUAGGCCUCUGCCACACAGCCUCCCCCAGCAGCUAGUGCACUGUGUGAGUUUUUUGUUGUUGUUGCUUAAUCUCUGAUGUCCCACUAGGCCGUGGGCUGUGUCUGCUGUGCUCCCUGUCCUAGCUCUGGCACCUGGCACAGUGCCCAACUUGUGGUGGGUGCUUAAUAAUGCAAAGCAAUGGAGAAGAUGGAGUCUAGCCAGAAGCCAGUAAGAAGGCUCCUUGAAGAGCGAGACCUGCCUGGUGCAGAGUCCACUUUGAAAGCCUGCAUUCAGGGGGGCAGCUAAACACCCACUGGCAUCCUUCCCUUCUUAGUAACUUGACCUCAACCUCCCUUUUCUGUCCCCAAGCACUUCCACCCUAGGAUCCUAGGGCGUCCCACACCCUCUUCUAAACACAUGUGACACUCCCACUCCACAUUUUUGCUCCCUCCUUCCAUCCCUAAAAACCGACUGCAGAUGCCUCCUCCUCUGAGGAGUCUUCCCUGAUCUCCCAACCUGGUGGAGUCUCUCCCUUCUUAAAGCCACCAGAGCCUCUGCUUGUACUUCCUCACCCACCCUGGGCCUCAGCCUCCUGAACUCUAAAAUGAGGAGAGCCUGGGUGCCAUGGUCUUCAAGUUUCUUCCAGCUUCUAAAGCAUCCGGGAUUAAGGAGGGCAGGUGAUAUAAUGAGCACUGCGAAUUAUAUAAGACGGAUGCAUCACUGACCUCUACCUCAGAAGCUAAUAAUACAUUCUAUAUUAACUAACUGAAUGUAAAUUAAAAAUUAUAUAAAGCAUCCAGGAUUCCACUCCGGAUUUUUGUGAUGGCUUUACCCUCCCCACGGGUCUCUGAAUUCCCUGAAGGGCCGAGACAAUUUCCUUUCCUCUCUCCUCAGUGUCUACCACAGAGCUUGGUGAUUUUUAGGCAUUCAUAAAUAUAAACGAUUUGAGGGGGCCAGUUGAGAUAGCAGCUCGGUGGAGAUGUAUGUCUCCUGUGUCUGCUCAAAAUCCCAUGGAAAGAGGGAAAAGAUCAUUCAUUAAAAGGCUGAGUAAUGGAAAACUCUAAAAAAUGCCACCAGAAGGAAUCAUACUCCCUGAUUUUGAACUAUAUUAUAAAACUGUAAUAAUCAAAACAGUAUGGUAUUGGCAUAAAAAUAGUCAAAUAGAUGAAGGGAACAGAAUAGGAAGCCCAGAAAUAAACCCAUGCAUACAUGAUCAAUUAAUUUACAACAAAGGAGCCAAGAAUAUAGAAGGGAGAAAGGACUGUCUCUCCAAUAAAUGGUGUUGGGAAAACUGGACAGCCACACGCAAAAGAAUGAAACUGACCACUAUCU